GGAGCUUGCUCCUCUGACGUUAGCGGCGGACGGGUGAGUAACACGUGGAUAACCUACCUAUAAGACUGGGAUAACUUCGGGAAACCGGAGCUAAUACCGGAUAAUAUAUUGAACCGCAUGGUUCAAUAGUGAAAGACGGUUUUGCUGUCACUUAUAGAUGGAUCCGCGCCGCAUUAGCUAGUUGGUAAGGUAACGGCUUACCAAGGCAACGAUGCGUAGCCGACCUGAGAGGGUGAUCGGCCACACUGGAACUGAGACACGGUCCAGACUCCUACGGGAGGCAGCAGUAGGGAAUCUUCCGCAAUGGGCGAAAGCCUGACGGAGCAACGCCGCGUGAGUGAUGAAUGUCUUCGGAUCGUAAAACUCUGUUAUUAGGGAAGAACAAAUGUGUAAGUAACUAUGCACGUCUUGACGGUACCUAAUCAGAAAGCCACGGCUAACUACGUGCCAGCAGCCGCGGUAAUACGUAGGUGGCAAGCGUUAUCCGGAAUUAUUGGGCGUAAAGCGCGCGUAGGCGGUUUUUUAAGUCUGAUGUGAAAGCCCACGGCUCAACCGUGGAGGGUCAUUGGAAACUGGAAAACUUGAGUGCAGAAGAGGAAAGUGGAAUUCCAUGUGUAGCGGUGAAAUGCGCAGAGAUAUGGAGGAACACCAGUGGCGAAGGCGACUUUCUGGUCUGUAACUGACGCUGAUGUGCGAAAGCGUGGGGAUCAAACAGGAUUAGAUACCCUGGUAGUCCACGCCGUAAACGAUGAGUGCUAAGUGUUAGGGGGUUUCCGCCCCUUAGUGCUGCAGCUAACGCAU
rnacentral:rRNA from 1 species